GACGGAGGAUGCAAGCGUUAUCCGGAUUUAUUGGGCGUAAAGCGCCUGUAGGUUGUUUAAUAAGUCUGUUGUUAAAGACUAGGGCUCAACCCUGGGAAAGCAAUGGAAACUGAUAAACUUGAGUAUGGCAGGGGUAGAGGGAAUUUCUAGUGUAGCGGUGAAAUGCGUAGAUAUUAGAAAGAACACCGGUGGCGAAAGCGCUCUACUGGACCAUUACUGACACUCAGAGGCGAAAGCUAGGGGAGCGAAAGGGAUUAGAUACCCCUGUAGUCCUAGCCGUAAACGAUGGAUACUAGAUGUUGUGUUAUUUAUACAGUAUCGUAGCUAACGCGUUAAGUAUCCCGCCUGGGGAGUACGCUCGCAAGGGUG
rnacentral:rRNA from 1 species